rnacentral:rRNA from 1 species
UACGUAGGUGGCGAGCGUUAUCCGGAAUUAUUGGGCGUAAAGAGCUCGCAGGUGGUUGAUUAAGUCUGAUGUGAAAGCCCACGGCUUAGCCGUGGAGGGUCAUUGGAAACUGGUCGACUUGAGUGCAGAAGAGGGAAGUGGAAUUCCAUGUGUAGCGGUGAAAUGCGUAGAGAUAUGGAGGAACACCAGUGGCGAAGGCGGCUUCCUGGUCUGUAACUGACACUGAGGCGCGAAAGCGUGGGGAGCAAACAGGAUUAGA